rnacentral:piRNA from 1 species
CACAUCAAGUGAUGUGCUUUAGCAAACUGU